rnacentral:rRNA from 1 species
AUUGAACGCUGGCGGCAGGCUUAACACAUGCAAGUCGAACGGUAACAUAAAGGAGCUUGCUUCUUUGAUGACGAGUGGCGGACGGGUGAGUAAUGCUUGGGAAUCUAGCUUAUGGAGGGGGAUAACUACGGGAAACUGUAGCUAAUACCGCGUAGAAUCGGGAGAUGAAAGUGUGGGACCUUCGGGCCACAUGCCAUAGGAUGAGCCCAAGUGGGAUUAGGUAGUUGGUGAGGUAAAGGCUCACCAAGCCGACGAUCUCUAGCUGGUCUGAGAGGAUGACCAGCCACACUGGGACUGAGACACGGCCCAGACUCCUACGGGAGGCAGCAGUGGGGAAUAUUGCGCAAAGGGGGCAACCCUGACGCAGCCAUGCCGCGUGAAUGAAGAAGGCCUUCGGGUUGUAAAGUUCUUUCGGUAGCGAGGAAGGCAUUUAGUUUAAUAGACUAGGUGAUUGACGUUAACUACAGAAGAAGCACCGGCUAACUCCGUG